CCUACGGGAGGCAGCAGUGGGGAAUCUUGCGCAAUGGGCGAAAGCCUGACGCAGCCAUGCCGCGUGAAUGAUGAAGGUCUUAGGAUUGUAAAAUUCUUUCACCGGGGACGAUAAUGACGGUACCCGGAGAAGAAGCCCCGGCUAACUUCGUGCCAGCAGCCGCGGUAAUACGAAGGGGGCUAGCGUUGCUCGGAAUUACUGGGCGUAAAGGGAGCGUAGGCGGAUAGUUUAGUCAGAGGUGAAAGCCCAGGGCUCAACCUUGGAAUUGCCUUUGAUACUGGCUAUCUUGAGUGUGGGAGAGGUUAGCGGAACUCCGAGUGUAGAGGUGAAAUUCGUAGAUAUUCGGAAGAACACCAGUGGCGAAGGCGGCUAACUGGCCCAUUACUGACGCUGAGGCUCGAAAGCGUGGGGAGCAAACAGGAUUAGAUACCCUGGUAGUCCACGCCGUAAACGAUGAGUGCUAGUUGUCGGCAUGCAUGCAUGUCGGUGACGCAGCUAACGCAUUAAGCACUCCGCCUGGGGGAGGUACGGUCGCAGAUUAAAACUUAAAAGUAAAGUAGACG
rnacentral:rRNA from 1 species